CUUUUGACGGUGGAUCUCUAGGCUCACGCAUCGAUGAAGAACGCAGCCAGCUGCGAUAAGUAGUGUGAAUUGCAGAAUUCAGUGAAUCAUCGAAUCUUUGAACGCAAAUGGCGCUCUUGGGUUCUCCCAGGAGCAUGUCUGUCUGAGUGUCUAUUCAA
rnacentral:rRNA from 1 species